rnacentral:rRNA from 1 species
CCUACGGGUGGCAGCAGUGAGGAAUAUUGGUCAAUGGGCGUAAGCCUGAACCAGCCAAGUCGCGUGAGGGAUGAAGGUUCUAUGGAUCGUAAACCUCUUUUAUAAGGGAAUAAAGUGCGGGACGUGUCCCGUUUUGUAUGUACCUUAUGAAUAAGGAUCGGCUAACUCCGUGCCAGCAGCCGCGGUAAUACGGAGGAUGCGAGCGUUAUCCGGAUUUAUUGGGUUUAAAGGGUGCGCAGGCGGCCUGUUAAGUCAGCGGUAAAAGUCCGGGGCUCAACCCCGGCGAGCCGUUGAAACUGGCGGGCUGGAGUUGGAGAGAAGUACGCGGAAUGCGCGGUGUAGCGGUGAAAUGCUUAGAUAUCGCGCAGAACCCCGAUUGCGAAGGCAGCGUACCGGCUCCACACUGACGCUGAGGCACGAAAGCGUGGGUAUCGAACAGGAUUAGAUACCCCUGUAGUC